UACAGAGGUCCCAAGCGUUGUUCGGAUUCACUGGGCGUAAAGGGUGCGCAGGUGGUUUGGCAAGUUCGAUGUGAAAGCCCCGGGCCUAACCCGGGAAUGGCAUUGAAAACUGCUGGACUGGAGGGUCGGAGGGGGGACUGGAAUUCUUGGUGUAGCAGUGAAAUGCGUAGAUAUCAAGAGGAACACCAGUGGCGAAGGCGAGUCCCUGGACGAUACCUGACACUGAGGCACGAAAGCCAAGGGAGCAAACAGG
rnacentral:rRNA from 1 species